CGGCUACUUCACUUUGAAAUGCCGGUUUCCAUACGAUCACCGAAGUUAAGCAAGGUUGAGCCUGGUCAGUAUCAAGAUGGGUGACUGCUUAAGAAUACCAGGUGCUGUU